AAUAUAUAUAUAUAUAUGUGUAAAGACACGUGGUUGGAUGUAUAAAAGAAAAAAUAGAGUGAAAAAUCUAGAGAAGACUUGUGUUAUAUGAUUAAAGAAUAUAUUUAAAUCGUCAUGUUAGGAAAAUGAUAUAAAAUUUUGUGUGUAGUGACCUUGUUCUUGGAGAAA